rnacentral:rRNA from 1 species
UACGUAGGGGGGCAAGCGUUGUCCGGAUUUACUGGGCGUAAAGAGCGUGUAGGCGGCCAAGCAGGUCCGCUGUGAAAUCUCGAGGCUCAACUUCGAGCUGUCGGUGGAAACUGUCUGGCUAGAGUCCGGAAGAGGAGAAUGGAAUUCCUGGUGUAGCGGUGAAAUGCGCAGAUAUCAGGAAGAACACCCGUGGCGAAGGCGGUUCUCUGGGACGGUACUGACGCUGAGACGCGAAAGCGUGGGGAGCGAACAGG